rfam:Canis lupus familiaris chromosome 35, whole genome shotgun sequence.
CCAAAGGCUCUUUUAAGAGCCACCUAAGGCUUUCUGUAAAGAGCUG